CAGCAACACACCAACCACCAUCAGUGCACCAACACAACCAACCCACCAUUCAGACCACAACUAACCACCAUCAGCACACACACCAACCACCAUCAGCACACACCAAACCACCAAUUAGUGACAACCACAUCGCACACACCAACCACCAUCAGCACACACCAACCACCAUCAGCACACACACCAACCACCAUCAGCACACACACCAACCACCAUCAGCGCACACACCAACCACCAUCAGCACACACACCAAUCACCAUCAGCACACACACCAACCACCAUCAGCACACACACCAACCACCAUCAGCGCACACACCAACCACCAUCAGCGCACACACCAACCACCAUCAGCGCACACACCGACCACCAUCAGCACACACACCAAUCACUAUCAGCACACACACCAGCCACCACAGCACACACUAACCACCAGUGCACACCCCAACUUGGAUGAGUCUGAACCCUGGCACACUAAGCACAGGAGUCUUCGUACUAAACGCCUCCACCUACAUGACAUCCUAGCAAAGGUGACACAACAGAGUCAGAAAACAGACCCAUAGCUGCAGGGGCUGGAGGUGGGGAAAGACGGCGAAAGGACACAGCGGCGUUUUCUGGGGUUGGACGCAGAAUUCUGUAAAUUGUGCUGGUGGUUUUGCCACUGUAUAUGUUUGUGAGAAUUCACCAAACGAUACACUCAAAAAGCGUGAAUGAUUUUGUGCAUAAGCUAUAUGUGAAUAAACCCGGCUUUU
rnacentral:lncRNA from 1 species